CGUAUAUUGCUCGAAAAGCAAACGAGCUCUUGGGACGAAGAACUUCCACCAGGUGAUUCAUCUGCGAAAGAGAUCUACGAGCUGAAAACGGCAAGAAAUUUCUUCCUUGAUCGUAGCGAAACUUGUGUAGAUUGAAAAUCUUCGUUCUCUCAACUCGGGACCUUUCGUUCGCUCCAGCGACUGAGGGUUUUCCUUCUCUAAUUUCUGGCCAUCACGGCAGCGAUUAGCCGUCGUCGGAGAAGACCAAGCUUGGGGGUGUAUUGAGUGGAACAUCGGCGAGAACUUUGGUUGGACAUGCAGCAAGUAAUUUGGGAUUAAUUCCACAUGAAACACUAGCAUAUUUGUAUCAGAGUUUUUACUCCCACUGGCAGUUCCAUUGUCGCCGUUUAGAUCAGAUUUGCAUCAAGUGAUACAGUCGACUGGGACACUUCUAUUGGCUUUCUUGUGUGGAUCAGGUUUUGCUUAAUGACAUUGACUUGUUUCAUGUGUACAAUUGUUUCUUACACUUUAGGUUAAAUUUGGUCUCACAAAUGGAAACUUGGCUGCCCUCAAUGCUAAAAUAAUUGAGAUACAAUAGUAAUGAGCUCUUUGCCCUCACUAAUUGUUUGAUUCUUAAAUCAUGUGGUCUUUUGAGUUAUUCUCAUCCUAGGAAAAAAAAAGCCACUAAUGAUUGCAUUGCAUUAGUUUUUGCAAUUCUUGAAAUUAUAAACCUACGUAUGUAGAUACAAGUGAAUCUUCUUGUUUGUUUUUUACCAUUUUUUUGCAGUAUCCAUUAAUUUACUCACAUUAACUUCUGUGUCCUUGUUCCAUUUGUGGACUAACUAACCAAAGGCUUAAGCUUACAUGCUUUUUAGCCUAUUGUAGUGGGUAAAUUGGGUCUUUAUUCAUGGCCAUGGCUAUAGUUCUUCUAUUGCACAUUUUCACGGAUUUUUCCCAUUGUCCUAGAUAUGCCCACUUUGGUAAUUGUGGCAGCAUUUACUAAUUUAAAUAUCCAUACCAUCUUUCUAGUUGCCAUUAUCAUGAAAUUUUUUUUUAUUGUGGUGCGUUUUCAUUCGUAAAUUUGGUCUUUCUGAAUGUCUUUUUGCGGCUUUUCUUUGUUAUGAGGUAGGAGAGUUGCUAGUUGAGUUCUUUGAUGUUGUGAAGUAGUGACUUGCCUAGAGAGCUACCACCUGCAAGACAUUCAACAUUCCAUAAAUCUCAUUCCAAGUUCACAAUUUCCUAACUUGUUAUAGGAUAAACUCAAAAGAGCAUGCUAAAUUGAAUAGGCAGGUAGGAGAAUUCCUUAACAAUGACUUUGUGAGACAUAGCCUCAAUCCUUGCGUAGCACCAACUCUUCUAACUCUAAAAAAAGAUGGAUCUUGGAGGAUGUGUGUGGAUAGUGGAGCCAUUAAACAAAUCACCAUCAAGUAUAGGUUCCAUAUCGAAAAUAUGCUUGACAUGCUAGCUGACUCAAGUUGGUACUCCAAGAGUGACUGACGCUGUGGGUAUCACCAAAUUGGAACUAGACCAAGAGAUGAGUGGAAAAUGACUUUUAAGACCAAGGAUGGUUUAUUUGAGUGGUUGGUCAUGCCUUAUGGAUUCUCCAAUGCCCCUAGAACUUAUAUAAGGGUUAUGACACAUGUUCUGCAACCAUUCAUAGGUAAGUUCCCGGUUGUCUACUUUGAUGAUAUACUGAUCUAUAAUAAAAUUAGGGAGGAACACUUGAUACAACUUUACGAGGUCUCUGUCACCUUGAGGGAAGCAUAGUUGUUUGCCAAUCUCAAGGAGUGUAGUUUCUUAUAGUCUAGUGUGCUCUUUCUUGGUUUUGUGAUCUCCAUGCAAGGAAUAGCCACUGAUUUAGGAAAGGUUAGAGCCAUUAGAGAGUGGCUUGAGCCUAGGACGAUUAUUGAGGUUCAUAGUUUUCAUGCCCUCACUACUUUCUAUAGGCGAUUCAUAGGGCAUUUGGCACCAUCAUGGCUUUUAUCAUUGAGUUUUUGAAGAAAGGAGAGUUUCAUUGGAUCCCAUCGGCUGCUAGAGCUUUUAGAGAGGUCAAACAAAAUAUGAUUGAAGCACCUGUACUUAGGCAUUCAAACUUUCGUAGGGUAUUUGAUGUGGUUUGUGAUGCCUUUGGGGUAGGUAUAGGUGGGGCGUUGAGUAAGGAGGGACGUCCUUUAUCAUUUUUUAGUGAAAAAAAUCUCAAAUGAUAAACAGAGAUAUAGCACAUACGAUAAAGAAUUUUAUGCCAUAGUGAGAUCUCUCCAACAUAGGAGAUACCACUUGUUACCCCAAGAGUUUGUACUCUUCUUUGACCACCUUGCUUUGUGAUAUCUAAGCUUACAGGAGAAGUUGAGUGCACAGCAUGUUGGUUGGGUAGAGUUCCUUAAUGAAUACACUUUUGUUCUUAAGCAUCAUUCCAUUGUAGAGAAUAAAGUUGCUGAUGGCCUUUGUAAGGUAGCAGUUAUUCUUUAUAUCUUGAGAGCCGAGGUCAUCGGGUUUGAUCAUUUGAAGGACGAGUACUCUACUUGUCCUAAUUUUGGGCAUAUCUAUUAGGAGGUGAGUGAGGGACACCAUAGAGAUUUUGUAGAUUUCAUCAUCCGUGAGGUAUACCUAUUUAGUGGUACUAGGUUAUGCAUUUCCUGUACUUCUUUUAGGGAUCUUUUAGUUUGGGAAUUGCAUGCCAAAGGGUUAGCUGGUCACCUAGAGAGGUAUAAAACCAUUGCCUUAGUUGAGGAUAGGUUUUAUUGGCCUUUCUUAAAUAGGGAUGUUGCUAAGAUAGUGUCUUAGUGUCGUACCUGUCAGCUAGCCAAACCUAAGAGACACAACACUGGCCUUUCUACUUCUCUACCAUUGUCACACAUACCUUGGAGAUACCUAAGUAUGGAUUUUGCUCUUGGACUUCCCAAAAGAGCUUGGGGACAUGAUUUUAUAUUUGUUGUUGUUGAUCGAUCCUAUAAGAUGGCACAUUUCAUCCCAUGUGAUAAGACUUCUGUUGCAUCUCAUGUGACUAAAUUGUUCUUUAGGUAGGUUGUCAAAUUGCAUAUGUUGCCAACCUCCAUAGUGUCUAAGAGGGAUGUCAAGUUUUUUAGCUGCUUUUAAGACACUGAAAAGGUCUGGGACACACUCUGAAUUUGAAACCAUAAAACAAACAUGCAAGUUUCUUCAAAAGUUUGUUUUAUUGCUUGGAUUUUUUUUUGACAUUAGAAUUGUUAGAUCGUGUAUAUGCCCUAGAACGUCAUGCUACUUAUUUUGAGUUUCUUAGCUUCUAUUUUAAAAUUGGCUUUACAUUUGCAAUAAAAAAUUGAACUUGUUUGGAUUACUCUGAGUACUUGUGUGUACAAUGGAAGCUGAAUUUGACUUAAAACUUGUACUUUUGCAGAUUGUAGUAGGAAAUAAUAUAUAAAGUGACGGUCAAAAUUUUGUGCUGGGGGUAUUUAUUUUAGUUGCUCUUUGUGAUGUUAGUUGCAGUCAUGAAAUUAAUAAGCAUGUAAAAUAUGUAAAUGAAUCUUUAAAUAAUUUCUAUGGAUUUUACUUACAUUGAAACAAUUAGUUGCAUUAUAGCAAAUCACUUAUAAAAAGAAAGUUUGGAAACUUUUAUGUUUUUUUUUUUAAUAUCUUAUUUGUUCCUUUAUUUAUAUCUUCUUUCUGAUGAAUGUCAACUGAAGAUGUUGGUAAUGCCUUUAUUGUUUUGUUUUGUUUUAUUUUUUUUUUAAUUUAUUUUAAUUUAUUUAUUUUCUUGUAUAAAUGUUUAGCUGCUUAUGAGGGUUUGCACCUUUACACUUGGAGUUUCAUGCUAUAUGUUCCAUGUGUUAAGCUAAAAUGGAAACGGAGAAAAUGAAAACGCCUUAAAGAGGAUGAACUGCAGCCGUGUACCAAUUUAUUCCAUCAAAAAUACAAUUAUCAUGUGUUAAAAUAAUUCAUUAAAUACCACGUGCUCAUUAUCCCAUUAGAAUGCAAUAACUCUUUUCCUUCUAUAUUUAUCUUAUGUAUCUAUAAAUAAGAACAUUUGUAUAGUGUGAAAUGUGUAAGUGAAGUGUGCGAGUGAGGAGUGUGAGAGUGUUGAAGGCGAAAAAGAGAAAAGUGUGAUGUAGGCUAAUGAAUAUGAUGGUUGCUUCCCUAGGGCUAUUGCCUUCUAUUGUUGUAGGCACGAAUGUGGAUUGGGAGCAUGUUGAUCUGUUUCUAGAUGAGGUUGGCAAUUGAUUAAAUAUCCAUGCAUGAUAACCACAAUUUAUAUAUCUCGAGUGUUUAUCCUUGUUCCUAGUAUAAACUGAUUUGAUAGAGCUCUUGUCCACCAGGAAGCAAUUAUAACUACUUUCAUGAAGUUCCUAAAGAAAAUUUGGGCAGGUGGUUCUCUCAUUUUAUAUGGGGAUAGGAAGCAAUUAUAACUACUUUCAUGAAGUUCCUAAAGAAAAUUUGGGCAGGUGGUUCUCUCAUUUUAUAUGGGGAUAGCCUUGCCAGGGGAUGUGUAUGGUUAAAGGUCUGGCUGAUGGAUUUCCCUAAAAGUUGGCUGUCCAUUUGAGUAUGGUGGUGGUCAUGUCAACCCUAAGAAACUAUGGAUCCUGAUCUUAUAAUUAACUCAAGCCUUCUUGAUCAUUGGUUUUCUUUGUUCUCUGGGCUAUAAUGAAAAUGAAAUAAGCCCUAUGACCAGCUAUCGCACCUUAUGCAAUGACCAAAGUGCCAAUUUUCUACUAAAUUUCAAUCUACCGUGUAUUUCAAUUACUUGAGUUAAAGAAUACUACAACAAUAUCAAGAAUAAGUAGUGAUUAAAUUUUAUCUCUUCAACGGCUACUUCAAUUCUUGUAACUCUUUUUUUUUAUUUUUUUGGACACUAGACUCGUUGAUAAGUCAAUAUGAAGUUUUAUAGAAUUUUAUUUGAUA